UGGGGGAUAUUGCACAAUGGGCGAAAGCCUGAUGCAGCGACGCCGCGCGGGGGAUGAAGGCCUUCGGGUUGUAAACUUCUUUUGCUCUGAACAAGGCAUGCCUUUGGGGUGUGCUGAGUGUAGGGGUUGAUUAGCGCCGGCUAACUACGUGCCGGCAGCCGCGGUAAUACGUAGGGCGUGAGCGUUGUCCGGAAUUAUUGGGCGUAAAGGGCUUGUAGGUGGCUGGUUGCGUCUGUCGUGAAAGCUCAUGGCUUAACUGUGGGUUUGCGGUGGGUACGAGCUGGCUUGAGGGCAGUAGGGGGGGCUGGUAUUCCUGGUGUAGCGGUAGAAUGCACAGAUAUCAGGAGAAAUACCGGUGGCGAAGGGAGGUCUCUGGGCUGUUACUGACGCUGAGGGGCGAAAACGUGGGGAGCGAACAGG
rnacentral:rRNA from 1 species